rfam:Gossypium arboreum cultivar AKA8401 contig_8_7, whole genome shotgun sequence.
AGUUAAAAAUUUCAUCCAUUAGUACCGUUAAAAUUUGAUGUGGAUGAUAAAGUGAUCAGAUAAUGACAUGUGGCAUGUCAUGUGCAUUUUAUGCUGACAUAUGAGAUCCAAUUUUUAACAAUAGAAACAAAUUAAAAUUUUUAACA